rnacentral:rRNA from 1 species
CCUACGGGUGGCAGCAGUGGGGAAUAUUGGGCAAUGGAGGCAACUCUGACCCAGCAACGCCGCGUGAGGGAUGAAGGUCUUCGGAUUGUUAAACCCCUUAAGUCGGGACGCAGAAAGUGACUGUACCCACAGUAUAAGCCUCGGCGAAAUACGUGCCAGCAGCCGCGGUAAUACGUAGGAGGCAAGCGUUAUCCGGAAUGACUGGGGGUAAAGGGUGCGUAAGUGGUUUGACAAGUUAGUAGGGUAAUUCCGGGGGUCAACUUCGGAACUACUACUAAAACUGUUGGGCUUGAGUGCAGGAGAGGUGAAUGGAAUGCCUGGUGUAGCGGUGGAAUGCGUAGAUAUUAGGAGGAACACCAGCGGCGAAAGC